UGGCGGACGGGUGAGUAAUGUCUGGGAAACUGCCCGAUGGAGGGGGAUAACUACUGGAAACGGUAGCUAGUACCGCAUAACGUCGCAAGACCAAGAGGGGACCUUCGGGCCUCUUGCCAUCGGAUGUGCCCAGAUGGGAUUAGCUAGUAGGUGGGGUAACGGCUCACCUAGGCGACGAUCCCUAGCUGGUCUGAGAGGAUGACCAGCCACACUGGAACUGAGACACGGUCCAG
rnacentral:rRNA from 1 species